UAUUUCUUUUACAUAUUAGACGCUUUCAUCUGACAUCAUUAUUUAAAUAAUUAUAAAAACAAAAGGUCCAUGGAAUUUUCCCUGUAAUGAAAUUUCUUUCUUUUUGUUUGUUAAAAUUAAUUUUGUCAAUUUAAAUGGUUAAUUUGUCUAAUAUUUUGGCCUCAAAAAGACUGAAUAUUUUCUGAGUUGUGAGUAGAAAUUCCCGACGUUACCAUUUUGGCUCAAAAUUGGGAGUGUUGCACCCCAGCACCUCCACCUCGUAUAUACCUAUGUGUUCAAAGGUUCUUUAUACUAUUUCAAAUCAUAGCUACAAGCGCAUUGAAAAGCAGCAUUUCUACCUAACAUUGCCAUGUCGUUUCUUAAAAAUUUCUUUUCAUUGUGGACAGGGGGUUGGUUAUCGUUCAGCUGUUACUGCGUGUAUUUAUUCCCAGGUUGCUCAAAACAAAUGUGCGACUCGUUGGUAAUGGCUGUGGGCUCAUACAUAAAUUUACGUGGCCAAAUGUCAUCCGUACUUUAUGCUCAAAUGUGUGGGAUAUAUGCCUUAUAUUUAAUGGUAAACUUUGGAAUUGCUUUUGUUUUCUUUCAUAUUUAUUAUGGCCCAAGCUCAAAGAAUGAAGCUAUAUCUGCUGCAGGGUAAAAAACAUAGAAUAGAGAAUACAUAGAAGGGCAACUCGCGGGUGAAACGCGUAGCAUUUUUUUUGUGCGCAUACGUUAAGUCCGCCAUUACUCUGGCCAGUAACUUGGCGCUGGCGUACUAUAAAAUUAUAUUGGAAAAGUGCGAUUUCGGAAUAUUAGUCGCCUCGUACGUAAAAGAUUUUGGAAGAUCAUAAAAGGUUGUGACAAAAAAUGAUAGAAACAAGUUGCUAGCCAAGUGCUUGCUUGAUUCUAAAGUGAGGAUUGUGUUGCAAGUGACUUGUACUGUGUAUUAUUUUCCGAAGCCCAACAGUGCUUGUAUUUUUAACAAUGAUGUUAUUUAAUUUUUAAAUGAAAUAUAUAGACUGGUUUUAUGUAUUCUAUAUUCUGUACACUCUACUGUAUAACAUACACACAUUUUAAAUUUAAACAGUUUUGUGAUUGUUAAAGCGUUUUAUACACAGUAUUGAUCAUCAAGGGCAAAGACCUGUUUUGGAGCUGUUAUCAGUGUAAAAUGAAUUAAUUAAAGUAAAAUUUUUAUUUUUUUUUAUAUUUUUACAACUCA